UUUCUCUUAUAUUAUAUGGUAUUUUUUGAACCAGGAUUUUAUUAAAUGCGUUACUGUCACUAAUUCUUCUUCAAUGCUAGUAGGUAUCACGACAUAAGAUUCCUCAAAGGUGUACAGCCUGACUUAGCUAAAUAUUUUACUUCUCAAGUAUGUAUCGUUCCAGGUUGUGAAAGGAAACAUAAAUACUGUGUUCUUCAUGUCUGUAUUUUAAUUGCUUCCUAUUCCCUUAAGUCUAGAGAUUUACUAGUCUAAGUAAUAAUUAUUGCCCCAUAUCCUCAUAAUUUGAAUUUCUUCCUGAAGUCUUUUUUAAAGAACUUCUUUCUCAUUCUGAAAGUAACAUUAUUGUGUGAAAAUACAGAUGUUAAAAGAAAAUGAAAAUCAUUUGUAGCCCCUCUACCUUAUUGCUUGUGUGUUUGUUUGCUAUGUCUCAUUGCAGUCUUUCUGUUGUACAGUUAUAGAUUUUGUUUUUCACACACAAAAAGAACUUUACUGCAAUGCUGUUUCAUAACCUGCUUUUUCCUCUUAACACAUCAGACACAGUUUUCCAUCCAAUAAUCUCUUGAUCCAAGUGACAUCACUCAUUCAGUUAGUGUGUUAUAUACUUAUGUAUAUGCUCUCCAGAGUGUUUUGUAAACACCAAACUGUCAAGAAGGUGAAAGUUUCUUCUUCUUGUGGAAUUAUCUGACAACAAUUGUGUUUGGUGUUGAAAGAGUUUUGGUAUCCUGGGACCCAGCGAGUCCAGGUGAGAAUGUGUUGAUUGAUGUGAUUCUCCCAGUUCUCGCCCAUGCCCUCCCCUCAUUUUGCUCCUAGCACCCCUGUCUGACUAAAAGGAAAAGAAUCGAUCCUCCCUUUUGACUUUCACGUACAUUUAAGUUGCCAGCCAUGAAUCCCAAAUGCAGAGAUCUGCAAUUUUCUUGGAUCUUUGUGAAACAAGCUACUUCUGGAAAGCAGUCAAACAGUGACGUUUGUUUCCCAAAGUGGCACUGUUGUUUUAACUUCACUUAUAAGCAUGCCAUGCCUAUCAAUUAGAAGUGCUGUCUCCAUUCAUAAAAUGUAUGAACUGAUGAUACAAUGGUUAGUUAACUAGAAAAUAUGCAAUCACGGUAUAAAACAGGUUUAAAGUUUUAAAUUAAGUUAGGAUUUGGAAUGGGACUAGGAUUUUUCUAAUAAAAUGUCUGUGUUGGGGGGCAGGGUGCUUAUUACCGUAGUUCCACAGCAGCAUGAUUAUUUUAAGGAAUAUUCCUUUCUAGUUAACCUAACAGAAACUAUUCUGUAUUUUUAGUAUGGUAUUAUUGUUUGUAUACUGGAACAUGGAAUCCAAUGAGAGAUACCAAUUCCCUGAUUUAAUUUUUUGCCUAGGAUAAGGGAGGUAAGAGUUAUAAAACUUGACUUCAUCCAGGAGGUGGAAAAAAAAAAAACCAAAAAACCUCUCUAAAGAUCAACUAUGAUUUACUUACCAGGCCCCGUCAAUGUUUGAGUAUCUUAAAGGCUAUUAAGCGUGACAAUACGUGUUUGAAAAGUUUGUCAUCUUCAUCCUUUGACAGAGCUAAAUCCACAAAUCAUUAGGUCCAAAACUAAACUUGAGAUGAAAGGUCGUUGUUUUUUUCCACCAAGCUAUCUAACCUCUAGUUUAAGCACAAGUAUAAAACCAUCUGCUCACCAGGAGGCCGAGAAGCUCAAAAUCCAUUAACGCCAUAUGUAUCCACAGAAGUGUGACUUCAGUGCUUCAAAUGUUUUCAAUUUUUUUUCCUUCGUUAUUAUCUGCCAGAAACUUAGCUGGAAUGCUUUCCCUUUCUUUAAAAUGCAUUGAAUUUCAGUUUAACUAUGCAAGGCCUUUUCUGAUUAAGUAAUUACAUACAUUUUCUUAUUUGUGUGUCUAUAUUUCGGAAUGACUGCUUCAUUUUGUUAAAAAUUAACCAUAAAGGGGAAAUAAGAUUUUAUUUUUAAUUUCCCUUCUUUAUCCCUAGGGAAACUAACACAUCUUUCAAGGCAUCACAAGAUAAAGAUGCUGACUCAGUCUCUUAAAUCAUCUCUGUAGUCUCCAGCACAGCCCUUAAUGAGACAGAGUUCUCUGUACAAGAAGUUGUUUCAUUAUGUGAGUGAAAAAUAACUUUUCCUCCUCCAAAAGUGCCCUUAGUGAAAUAAUUAAAGUCUGAAACCAAACCGUCAUAUACUUAUCCCAAAACAGAGGAGGGCAAACAACACAGCUUCAAAAUGACAAAAUGGCUACUUGGUUGAAAAUCAUACUUUGAAAAUCUCACCUCAAAUGAGAGGUCAACAGUGGUCAACCUAUGAAAGUAAAGUACUUGCCAACUGAGAAAAAAGAAAAAAAAAGAAGAAAAUCAAGCAGAUCUUCAGAAAGCAGGGAAGAAAACAAAGUGGGAAGAUUUCUAAUACAGUUCAUGAUUGUGCCUUACUUAUGUAGGUGUAGGUUUGUCUAAAUAAUAACCUUUUGCAUUUGUGGCUAAUAAAACAUAAGCAUUUUUAUAUCAGUUACCUGAUUUGGUCCUCACGAUAACCUUAAGAAUAGGCAGAAAACAAAUUACCUCCCCCAAUUUACAGACGUGUGAUCUGUAAUUUAGGAUUAUUAAAUAACCUGUCCAAGGUUCAAUGAGGUUGGUCAGUGGCACAUGACUGAAUGAGCCCUGCCCUACUGCCUUUUUAAAUUAACUGAUAGAAAAUUAUCUACAUAGAAAUUCUUAGCACAUUAUAGUGACUCAGCUGUAUCACAGGAACAAAGGAAAGUUAAGAAUUAUUGGCACAUGUAUUUGAUCUAAAAUAUUAAAUUCAAGUGGUUAAUUUCAGCCUGCUCCACCCAAAUCUUUCAAAGAUGCUUACAUUCACACAGUGACCACAAAUAUUUAAGUGCCUCUUUUGUUUUACGGUGACACAGGUGAAUUGAAGUUUCACUGAUUUUCCAUUUGCCUGCUGGCAGAACAAUCCAAUGGAAAACAACAGGAGGGAAAGGGAAGAAAAUAAAAAAGAACUGUAGGUUCUGAAAACUCAAAAAUAAAACUUUGAUAUUAUUGAUUGACCAUGAAAACCUUGAGGAUUAGUUAUUGAUCUACAAGCUGACUGCAAAGUAACCUCCUAACUUGUCUCUGCCUCCUCUCUCUCUCUCCUGCUUUCCUCCAGCCUAUGUGCUGCUGCCAGAUUAUUCCAAUGGUCCUUACCUUGUGCAAAACUUCCAUAAACUGGCUAAGAAAACAUAAACUCUUCACCCUGAUAUUCAAAACCUCUACAAAAAUGACAAUGCCUACUAUUUAACAACUAUUAGAGAAUAGACACCAAAAAAAAAAUCCUGGGACAUAUAUAGUUAGGCAAAUUUACCAGUGAGAAAACUGAGGCUGAGGGAGAUUAAAUAACUUGCCCUAGGAUGGAUAUUUAUCCAGUGGCUGUACCAAUGUCCAAAUUCAGGCCUGCCUAAUACCAAAGUCCAGCCUGUCUGUCUAAAUUUGUUUCGGACCUCUAGGACAUAGGGAGCCUAAAUUACCAUGAGUCUUUGGUGCUAGUUUGCAAACACCUGGCCCAUGUACAGUUCCAUGCUGUUGCCUCGAAUUUUUCUACCUGCAAUGUUCUCCUCAGUCCUACUACCUAUGGAAAUGUUCAUUCUUCAGGAUGCGUCUCAAGUAUCACUUCCUCCUUGAAAUCUUUGCUGAAAUUUAUCACCAGAGACCUUCCAGAAGUGAAAAAAACCUCCCUCUUUCUGAAUCCUUUUAGAUCUUUGUAUAAUUCGUAUGGUACUUACCUUCUUUUAUUGUGGUUCUUUUUCUGUCCUCAUGAAAAGUUUGCAAGCUUCAUGAAAACAGGAACUGGGAUUUAUCCGUUAGUACUAAUCUUAAAGUCCUAGCAGGAAUUCAGCACUUCAAGACAGACUUAAAAUGUUGGGGGUUGGGGGAGAAACCCGCUUAGUAGCAGCCCAACCAAUGAGAAGCCUCCAUACUUUGGACUUCCAGCUUCCUCCAAUGAACUCCUUUGUUAUUACAGUCCCGGUCAACAUCCGGCCCCUUUUCCCUAUAAAAGCAAUUUUCUCGCGGAUUCUUCCAUUUGCCUGUGGUCAACUAGGCUUCGUGUGGGUGAUUUUAUCGUUUCUGGCUAUUCCUGAAUAAACUAUUUUGCUGGUUGAAAAAAGAGAAAGAAAGAAAUACCACCUGGAAUUUGGCAUAUGGAAAACACAAUGUCUCUAUCUGCAUCAAACCCGGCCUCAAGCCUUGCCGACUUCCAGCAUGCUCACUCUGUGCGGACCGCGACCCUGUUGGAAGCCCCGGGGUUGGGGCAACAGGAACUCCUCUGCGCUGCGCAGGCUGCGAGGUCGCUUGGAGGGCUGUGGGCGCCCAGCCGGCCUGGAGUGGCCUAAUUAGGUGUGGAUACCGCCACUGCCUGGGGCUGAAGCCGCCAGCCUUCAUCAAGGCCCUCAGCCAUUUUUUUCAAGAGUGCAUCCAGAAAAAGGCAUGUGGACACCUCCUGCAGAGGAUCUGGACCCAUUCCUGCAGGAGAAGCUGAGCCUGGAGCCGCUCAGCCUGAACCUGUAUCAGGUCCCCGGAUCCUUAACCCAGGUUCCCUGAGGCAAAUGGCUCAGUGAAGGGCACCACCAGCCACCCAUGAGCCAGCAAAUCCCUGGAUAUCAUUCAUGACUCCACCCUUUACCUCACCCUGCAUCCAACUACAAAUUCUUCUCUGUAGGUUGGGUAGGAAUAGCCCCAUUCCUGCCUCCAAGGUUGAGAAUGUUGAAAAUUGGUUGGAUACCUGUCCUGGACCAAAAGCAAGGUAGGUGAAGAGCUAAAGUCGAAUUCCUACCCAUCCUCCUAACUCCAAAGUCCUCUGGGCAUACCUAGCUUUGAAAACCACUGUGUUCAGAAGCCUUUUCCUCCUGAAGUCUGGCAUAAAACAGCUGCUUGGCUUCAGUUUUCUCAUCUAUCCUUGCCACCAAGUUUCUUUUUUCAUUCAUGGCCAGGAAUCAGCAAAAUUAUAGAUCUGUGCAAAGCUCUUUAUCUACAGAUUAUGUCCCAAAACAAGGAACACAUAAGCAUACUUUUAGGCAAGCAAGUUUUCCUUUCACCUUCCCAGGCAUGGCAGGGAAUUAAGGGGGGAUUCCUAGUUAGAAGGCACACUCCAUAGUUGCACCAAUCUCUUACCCCUCUGGAGCUAAGAGAGACAUUACUUCCCAGGCUGGUCCACUGAAUGAAGCCGUUUUGUCAAUGGUCAUAAAAUUACAAGGAUGAGAUCCCUGAGGCUGCCUAUGGAGAAGACUGAAAGCUACCCUUUUUUUUUGAGGCUCAGUGGGUGUAGUCAUGUCCAGCAUAGUCUGGACAGCACAGAUAUUAUUCUGCCGUACCAUUUGAAGUUGGCAUUCACAUUUACACAUUAUAAUAGAAUUGAUGACCAUUUUAGGCCUUGGAGUUUUACUCAUUUAAUAGUUUAACCAGAGCAUCAUUCAAAUGGUGCUUUGAGCCAAGACAAGCCAGACCAAAUGAGGAUUUUCCUGUGCUUUCCUUCCAGCCAUUGGUUCCUUCUAGGCUUAUGGUUCUGAUUCAAUUACCACUACACUCCAUUUGCUCUCACUGCCCUCUUUCUGUCUCUUAGCUCCCAUUCUUUCCUCCACACACUUCAACUUGAAUACAGUAGUCUUUCCUUCUCUGAAGGUGGUAAGAGUUACAGUGGAAGCCUAAAACUGCUGAUAGUAUUGAACCCUAUGUAUACUAUGUCUUUUCCUAGACAUAGACACCUUUGAUAAGGUUUAAUGUAUAAAGUAGACACAGUAAGAGGUUGACAACAACAAUAAUAAAAUGGAACAGUUAUAACAACAUCCUGUAAUAAAAGUUAUGCGAAUGUGGUCUCUCUCUCUCAAAAUAUACAAACUGAAUGCAUUUACUAUCUUAACCAAACACUUACCAUGCAUUGUUGAAAACUUUUGCAGUUUGAGGUGAAACAGCAAAACUAGCACAAAUGUCUUUCUUCCUUCUUUGCAAUUUUCAUGGACAGAAGAUUCCUUCUUACCAUAAAUCUUAGCAUUAGCAACCUCAGCAUACAAUUUUUUUCUUUCCUUGUUUAGUUGAGAACAUUCACAUUUUCACUUUUAAAAAGCACUUUGCAGCUGCUCUUUGGAAGACCCAAAUUGCCAGCAUCACUACUCUUCUGCUUUGAGGCCAUUAUUAAGUAAAAUAAGGGUGAUGAAAGCAAGCGCUGAUACUAUGGCAGUUGAUAUGAUAACUCAGGCAGCUACUAUAUGACUAACAGGGUACACGGGACAAAGGGAUGAUUCAUGUCCCAGGGACAGAGUGGGAUGGGGUGAGAUUUCAUCAUGCUCCUCAAAAUGGUGUGCAAUUUAAAACUUAAAAAUUGUUUAUUUUUGGAAUAUUUAAUAUUUUCAGACCUUGCUUAACUGCGGGAAACUGAAACUAUGAAAAUUGAAGCUAUGGCUAAGGAAGGACUACUGUGGUAGACUUUUCGGCUUCUGUGAAAAGAGCAAGGUUUAAGGACUACAGUAAGAUUAAGCAUGUAGCACCAAAUAGGAUACCGUCGCCUCUGGAGACCACAAUCGCAUAAAGCGUACUUGUCCCUCAAGGUGAUUAUAUCAUUAUCUGGGGCGUGAAAAGCCCACUGGCAGACCUACAGGCUGGAAUCCAGUGAAGCUGGGUGUUCAGCAUAUCUUCUGUUUUUUGGUUUUUUUUUUUUAAACUGUAAGAUUCCCAAAGCACUCCACUAUACUCCAGUCAGCUGACUAAAGCAACAUUUUCUUUACUGCCCUUACUAGAAUUUUUAAGAAUGACCUAAAAGAUCUUAGACAUGAUUUUCUAUGUUUUGUAGCUACUAAGACAUUCAGUAUUAUGAGAUACUUUUUCUGUUUUCCCUGGUUUUUUAGGUGAAUUGUUCCUAAAUAAUUCCUUCACCAAGGUUCUAUCUUUGUUCAGACAAGGCUUCCCUCUGUCCCAGCCUACGUAGAACAUCUGUAUGCAACCUGAAUGUUCUUGGUGCUGACAGCCCCGCUUCUCCCCAAACUGUCACCAUCUGGCCAUCAGCUGUGCACUUCUGAAAACCCACGCAUGCGAAUGCCAAUCUUCUCCCUGGAAGGCUGUGAGCUUAGCAUUUCUCCAGGAUUCUAGCCGGGUGACUUAAAUGAGUCUAAAGUUGUUUUUCCCCCUAGUACUCUCUUAGCCUUUAACAUAAUAGCUCACAUUCACCGAUAAAAACAAUAAAAUGUCCCUUUAAUUAAAGGAACUAUUUUCAGUUUGUCUCACCACCAGUCUGAAGGUGAAAUACAUAUUGUCCAUGUGAUUUGCUGUGUCACAUCAUGGAAAUAUAAAGAAAUUCUCCUAAUAAUUAUGAAAUACAUACUUGGAAAGAAGUUCAACUGUUUCUUUAAAAAUAAAAAUCUAACAAUAUGUUGAAACAGACAUGGUAUUUUUCUCACUUAUUUCAAAAAAAUAUGCCUACUAAAAAAACACAACUCCCUUUGCAGCUUUAUAAAAUUACUUUUUAAACUGUACACAGAAGAGUUCCCAUUGUGGCUCAGUGGGUUAUGGACCCAACAUUGUCUCUGUGAGGAUGUGGGUUGGAUCCCUGGCCUCCCUCAGUGG